rnacentral:hammerhead_ribozyme from 1 species
AUCCAGCUGACGAGGACCAGAUAGGACGAAACGCUCGUCCUAGAU